rnacentral:rRNA from 1 species
GAUGAACGCUGGCGGCGUGCCUAAUACAUGCAAGUCGAGCGAACAGACGAGGAGCUUGCUCCUCUGACGUUAGCGGCGGACGGGUGAGUAACACGUGGAUAACCUACCUAUAAGACUGGGAUAACUUCGGGAAACCGGAGCUAAUACCGGAUAAUAUAUUGAACCGCAUGGUUCAAUAGUGAAAGACGGUUUUGCUGUCACUUAUAGAUGGAUCCGCGCCGCAUUAGCUAGUUGGUAAGGUAACGGCUUACCAAGGCAACGAUGCGUAGCCGACCUGAGAGGGUGAUCGGCCACACUGGAAGUGAGACACGGUCCAGACUCCUACGGGAGGCAGCAGUAGGGAAUCUUCCGCAAUGGGCGAAAGCGUGACGGAGCAACGCCGCGUGAGUGAUGAAGGUCUUCGGAUCGUAAAACUCUGUUAUUAGGGAAGAACAAAUGUGUAAGUAACUAUGCACGUCUUGACGGUACCUAAUCAGAAAGCCACGGCUAACUACGUG